AAAGGUAGCAUAAUAAUUUGGCUUAUAAUUGAAGUCUGGUAUGAAUGAAUAUAUGGGUACCAACUGUCUCCACUAUAUAACAUGAAUUUACUGAUUGGGUGCAAAUUCCCAUUUCAAGAUAAUAGACGAGAAGACCCUAGAAAUUUUCAAUUACACUUUUUGCUGGGGCGGCAGAAUAACACAAAACUUAUUUUACUAUAUUAUCUAAUAUAUUAUGGAAAAACAAUUACUCUAGGGAUAACAGCAUAAUUUAUUUAGUUUGUGACCUCGAUGUUGGACUAAGGUAAUUAUUAUUCAGAAGAUAGUAAUUGAUGCUCUGUUCGAGCGAAACUUCCUUACAU
rnacentral:rRNA from 1 species